UGGGGAAUAUUGGACAAUGGGCGAAAGCCUGAUCCAGCCAUGCCGCGUGUGUGAAGAAGGUCUUCGGAUUGUAAAGCACUUUAAGUUGGGAGGAAGGGCAGUAAGCGAAUACCUUGCUGUUUUGACGUUACCGACAGAAUAAGCACCGGCUAACUCUGUGCCAGCAGCCGCGGUAAUACAGAGGGUGCAAGCGUUAAUCGGAAUUACUGGGCGUAAAGCGCGCGUAGGUGGUUCGUUAAGUUGAAUGUGAAAGCCCCGGGCUCAACCUGGGAACUGCAUCCAUAACUGGCGAGCGAGAGUAGGGCAGAGGGUGGUGGAAUUUCCUGUGUAGCGGUGAAAUGCGUAGAUAUAGGAAGGAACACCAGUGGCGAAGGCGACCACCUGGGCUCAUACUGACACUGAGGUGCGAAAGCGUGGGGAGCAAACAGG
rnacentral:rRNA from 1 species